CCAGUAAAUUUACUUUGCUCAAAACGGAAAGAAGAGCAUGAAUCCAAGCAAUGCCAAGCCCCUGAAGCACUAAGGGCAGAGGCCCUGGACAAGCAGAGGUGAGCAGCUUGCAAUCCCCACUCUGUGGUCAGCAAAGUGGGUGCCAGCGUGCCCAGUGCCCUGCCAGCACCGCCAGUGCUCUGCCCCGAGCAGGGACUGGAAGGUUACCAAGAGAGGCCUGGCACAGCAGGAUGUGUAAAUUCAGCCUGAUCCCUUCUCAGGCUCCGUACAGGGGCUCCAGAGGGUUUCGGUAAACAUCCUUGGUAAUAUUUGGACACCGCAGCAAUGUCAAGAAGUAUUGCAUUCAUAAAUCAGACCUUACAUCAGCUCUGCUGGCAGAAAGAACAUCUGACCACUUCUCAAGUCGCACUGAGCCUCAGACGGCAUCAUCAUUUCUGAGGAUUUAUGGUAGACACUGAGUUAAGCUGCAUCUUUGGUCUUAUGUUAAAUCACCUUCUUGCCAAGGCUAAAAAUUGCUCCAUGGUGUAAUCACAAACUGAGGCGAAAGAGUGAAAUAACAAAUUUCAUUCCCAUACAAUAAUAACACGUUACGUUUCCAUAGCACCUCUCUGCCUCUCAGAUCCAAAAGGACAUUACCAACGUAACUCCCUGAAACCCACUGCACGCACGGGGAUUAUGUCAUCCACCACUGAAACACGGCCACUGCUACUUCACGGUGCAAUCCAACACUAAAGCAGAGCUGAAGUUGGAAAGAAGAAUCACCAGCACCCUAGGAAAGCGAUGCCACAGAGCAAGCCCUGAAUCCUUCUCAAUCUGCUGAUGUGAACCUGAUCCAUGGCCUGCACACCUGCCCGGUGACAGUGCUGCUUUCUGCUGACGAGACCAAGCCCAACUCUGUCUGGGACAAUGACAAAUGCCAGAGCAGCAGCCACCAGGGCAGCAGGACUGUGCCAUCCCCACUCUGGUCAGGGCCUCAACAGACAGGCAGGCACCUUGAGUGUGCCUGGGAGAACAGAACAACAGGGAAUGCUGCUUUCCAGCAGGACAGGAAACCACAGCCCAGGCACCUGCAGACAGAAAAGGCCCUGGGUUUUGUACUAACAGACAAAACCUGUCCCUUGUUCAGCCAAGUCACACUGCCCAGUUGCACCCGUUCCAACAGCAACAACCCAGACUGAUUGCACCCUUCUUUCUCUCCACACAACAGCAGCUUAGACUUGCUGGGAGCUGUGCUGUGCAUUAGUUGGUGGGUUCAGGAAGACAAAGACCCUGAGGGUUUUCCAGCUUAAUACAAUGCCUGUCCCUUCUUGUCCCUUGGACGACUGUCAGAGAGCUACUGUUUCACUCAAAAUAAAACAAAAUUAGAAGCGUGUAGGGAUUGUAAGUAUUACAGGGACUGAAGAGGGAUUUCAAACAGGCAGAAGGACUGAGAAACGUGUGACGCAGAACUUCCCAGCCCAGCGCACACGUCUGAUCUCGAGGCAGACUGAGCUGCAGACUGCCUUUGCUCCAUUACUCCUUUCCAACAUUUUCCACACUCUCCUGCCAAGAAAACUCAGAGAGCUGCCUGCCAUGUCUGGCAAGUUCUUCCUACUGCACAGUCCCCCCAGCUAGUGCAGGCAGGCACGCAGCACGACGUCCACAAAGCUCUGUCCUUGCUCUGCACCAGGGGGCUGCCACUCCUGCAAUACCUCUCAUAGGAGAGGGUUAGGGAGGCUGCGAAGCAUGCUAGGCAUUUUGGGUUCUUCAAGGGCAGGCCAGCUCCCCAGAUUCCAUGGGCUCUGGAAGCCUUUUGCUCUAAGCCACUUACAUGUGCUUAGAACUUGGUUGAAAAUACAAGAAGGGUUUAUACUUGGGACUGGUGUUCCCAUGUAACACACAAACACGGAUCUCCCAGCCUCAGAUGCCUGAACUUUUCCCAAGGAAAAGGGAUUGGGGAACAGAAUUUGCUGACCUUCACCAGAGUGACCUGACCCAUUUCUUGGAGUCAGCCUAAUAUGCUGUUCGGUCUGAUGUCCAGGAGAGUGGCACAGUCAUUCCUCCCCCACUGCAGAAAUCUCCUGUGGAUUAAACUCUUUCCAAUCCAGUUAACUUCAGGGUUUUUGUUUUCAUUUUUUACAAAGAAACUCUCUCUCAAUGGCAGUGUCAGAACAGAAAAAACUUUCAACUUAAAACACCCAAAGAGGACACCUCCCACAGCCAGCAUGCUCUGGGUUUACGGGUCUUCUGUCAAAGCAUUUAGCACGGAUUUCAUAUAUUUUUAUUACAUUCAGAAUCAUCAGUUAAUACACCACUUUUAGGAAGCCACCUGGAGUCCCAGCUCCUACAUUCAACACGAUUUGAGCAAAUGAAAAUUUGUCUCUGAGGUGUCUUGUAUUUUUUUUUCUUUAAUUUCCUGCUGUGUGAAAUAUGAGGAGCAAUAAAAUCACAUCCUUGGAAACAAAUGACAAUUGUUUAAUGGAGUAAAAAACAAAGUCCCAAUGCCUUCUAGCCUCCUUGUGCCACAGCUACUACAAGCACGGCUGCUCACACAGGUAGAACAGGCUCCAAGUCCGGACUUCCUUGCUUUUAUGGGUUUAAAUUGGAUCCCACUAGGUGUUUAAGGCCAUUGUUGAUCUGCUAACACAUUCCACAGCCUGACUAACACCAACUGGGUUAUUCUUCAUUCUGAUUUGGCUUGUUUUGGCUCCAUCUGCCUGUCACAGCAGACUGCAGAGCAGAACAGAGCAGCGCAAUCCCAGGUGAGUGAUAAACAGUGCUCUGGAUGCGGGCGGAACAGGGAUAAGAGCUCACCAGCUACUCUUACUAAAAAGGUGUAGGGACAAGCCCUGCCAUUCCUGGAUUCAGUGAGGCCAACUGCAACUGAUGCAGCAGAGUGAAACAACAGCAGAAGGACAAAGAUGAAGAACUAAAGGCCACUGCCAGGGAAGUUAAAGGAGGAAGGUGACUGCCCGUGAGGCUGGCUUCAUCUCUCAGCAAACAGCUGCAGUAUCUCUGCUAUAUUAGCCAGGCCCUUGUGCAUUUGUACCAAUGCUCCUACAAGCAAUACUUAGCAACACUCAACACUUUGCCCAGUACUUUCAGGAGAUCUGGGAUUUUCUUACCCACUUCCACCUCCACCCUGAAAAGUCACCAUCAGACUCUUGGUCAAUGGCACACACUUAACUGGCCAGAGUCUGGCAGCAGGGACGGGCAGGCCCAGGAGGCAGACUGUGUUUUAUCAAACACCCUGUGGAACCAAGAUUUUCCUCUACCAGGAGGAGUCUUUCGCAACUGGAUGUCUCUAAACUGUGGACUUGGGUGACUUCAGAAUUCUCCCUCCACGACCUCUUCCCUUCCUUGCCAGACUGUGGCUUCAUUAUAACGCAGGCAAACUGAGUUGGGAACAUCAUUAAUUGCAUGGAAAGAAAUGGGAGAGACUUUCCAAGAAACGCAACCACAGCAACAGUUCCAGGAGCCCUUCCCUGCACAACAGCAGCUCCCAGAGGAUCCUGGAAACAGCUGGCAUGCUCAUGCUACCUGGAAUCAGAGCAGGGAGCUCAAGCACUGCAGCCUCCAUGGCCAGCAAGCCACCAGCCCAGCGAGCCACUCCAUGGGCAACUUCUUGGACAAGGCAGGAGCGGGGAGAAUUCAGAAUAGGAAAGGACGCUGAAGCAAGAAAUCCCAUCCCACAAAGAUUUUUUAUGUGGCUUUUCAGAUGUUCAGCAGUCAAAAACAGCUUCUUCAGAUGCUAGGAACUGAAAGCUUUGGAUACCUGAGAAAAGCAGGGCUCCCACAGCAUCAGCAUCCACAGAAUCUACUGCUACGACCUGACACCGUGACUGUACAAAAACCUUACACUAUGAGAAGUCUCAAAAAAAGCCAUGCAAGAAACUACCAGCAAAUUAAAUCCACCCUUUUCUUGCAAUUACCUACCUGUCUUGAUGUGAAGACAGCCCCAAAACUACAACUUCUGGCUAAGAAGUAGGGAAAACAACCAUAGCAAAAGUUCCCCAUCUAAUGGCAUCUGUACUCUUAGGUCUUUCUUUAGUUCAGUGAAUCAUCCAGUGCACUUCAAAAUGCUCCCUCUGCUCUCCUGCUAACUACAGUAUCUAAUCAGGUGCCAUGCGGGGAGUCUGGGUAUCCUACAGUGAGCAAUUACUGUUUGUAAUUUCAAGUUGGAAACAAGCAGAUACACAAGUAAUCAGUCCAUGUCUAGUAUGUGCACACCCCAGGGGCUGACACAGUCACUGGACUUGGCAUUCAAAGGCUCACAAGCUCUACCGGCACAGAAGUCUAAAUCUGCUCUCCUACCUAUUUGCUUGUAGAGCAAGCUUACAGUAUUCAGCCGAACAUUCCUUCCUACUAAAUACUUCAUGGCACUUCAGUUUGGUACUAUGCAUGAAAUACAGCCUAAACCACCAGGUCCCCUGACUGCAAUCACAAAUUUACAACCACUCAGCACUUCUGAAGAAGACAGAGGGUCUGUCACAGCUGGGCAUGUCACAUCACCAACUCCACAACCACUCUGCGCAGAAAGAGGCAAAAGCCAGAAGCUCAGGAACAGAAUUUCUCGAGGUCUGAGUGGUGUCUGGGAGGUGAUUCAGAGCUGGAAGGAAGGCAGGCAGACUCAGACUCCUGGAUGGAAGGCUAGCUCCAUCUGGCACAGAAAUCAGCUCAGCCUUGGGUUACCUACAGAUCAAAUAUUCACCUCUGAACACCAGAAAUGUCAUAUAAUCCAUCUGACCACAUGAUCUUUGAGGUCCUUUUCAACCCAGGCCAUUCUAUGAUUCUAUGAAUCCCCUAAAGAUGACUCUGAUUUUAGCUGCCUAUUUAGCAGUCUCAAAGUCCUUACCAACCUCGCUUGAAUCUUAUCCAACUCCUGUAUCUGCUCCCAUGGUACGAGGCUCUAAAUGACCGUUCCCCAACCCACUUCUACCCAAAAAAGGGGUUUAGAGGAUGUGCCACGCUUAGUCAUACGAGAAGGAGUGGGCUCCCUAAGCCUGUCUCCUGGAAUCAUGACAUUAAAUGAUAAUCUCUAUUUUUUUCCUCCCAUUUUCUUGGUUUAUUUUUUUUUUUAACAUCCUCCAAACGUCUCCUACACGGGACUUUAGGCUCAAGGCAACAUUUGGCUUUUUUUGGGGUUAUUUUUAAUCUUGAGAUUUAUGAGAGGUGGCUGACUCAUGUUUUGGCUGGUGGAGCCAGACUCUUGUGAGUAACUGCAUCCUAGCUAGUUUAUUAAGAUAAGUUUCCCCACUUCUGUUUGAGGUGAUGGUGAUGCCAUUGACUGCUGCAAAAAAAAAACCAACAAAAAAACAGCAAUUUGCCUUGGGUCUCACAUCGGUGAAAGGCCAGACAUUUCUUUCUUCAAUUUCCAUCUCUGACAUGUGCACCCAAAGAGGAAGGUGCAGAUAUAUCAAAUUUCCCCGCACUGCUCAGCUUUAUCAGCUCAUUUAAGCAUCUCCUCCCACAAGUGAGCUCCACCUCAGCAGAGAGCAAGAAAUCCUACACACACCAGGGCUACUGUGACUCGUUAAGUAUGGUUUUGCUUCGCAUACCCCCAUUUCCUUUCCAGCAACGCACCAAAAAAUUACUGAGGAAAGGGUUUGUAGCUAAGGAAUUCUGUGAAUGAUUAACUCCAUCCUGCCGAUUAACCAUUGCUCUCCAUUCUCUCAUGCCUUGCAGGACCCCACUUCCGGGUAGCAAAGCCAUGCCAAAAUCUGAUAUCCCAUUGGUUUUGCUUGCAGAAUGGUCAGGUGAUGUGGACGGUUCUGGCUCUGAGCUAAAACACAUUAAGUGCAGUAAUGAUUAAUCCAGAACCCCAGCACAAACUCAUGAUGAAACAUUGUUCCUCUUGUCGCACCAAAUUUCCUUAAAUGAAUCCUGCUUCCUGGAGGUCACCAUGGAGGAACAGCCUCCACUGCACACCAGGAACAGGGUCUGGAGCAAGGACAGCUCUUUACAAGCCAGCAAAAUAAUACAAUGACUAGGUGUUGCUCCCCUCACAGCAAAAUGAAUCACAUCUAAGCCAUGCCGUGCUACAUUUGGAACUAGAACAAGACAGUGAAUACAGCUCUCCCACUCUGAAGAUGCUUCAGAGUAGAGGCAGCUAGAUGUAAACCUGGCUGAAGAUAACGUAUCUCUGCAGGCCUACCCUUCAUUCUACCCAAAAUACAGCAAACUCCCCUCCCUAAUGGGAUGAACCACAGCUUUGUAAAUAAAUUACUUUUGGACUCCAGUCCUGCAGUUCAUACCACAUCGCAUUGCACAGACAGUAGGAUACACUACUGCUUUUUGUUGACCAGCACAGUUUGGGAGUCUCUUUUAGACAGGAACCACUGCUUUGGUCAACCAAGUCCAGCAGCUGCUUCCCAGGUGAAGCAUGUGCACCCCCAGCAAGUCAUCUCGCACUGUGAGAUCUUCAUGUCAGAUUGGCCCCACAUGCACGUGCAAGCUCAUGUGCCUAUCACACUCAGCUGCACCUCAGAAGAGGGGGAGAGCUCGGGCCCAGCUCUGACAGACACUGCCUGUGUGAGCCCAGGCAGGUCCCUCACUCUGCACACAGACAGUUUUCAGUCACAGCCAGCCGUAAAGCAGGAAGACUUCCUUCUUCUUCUGCCUUGUCUAUUUCUGUUGCAAGACUCUGAGGAUAAAGUGCUAUUCAGCGUCCUUGCAUAUCGUACGCAGCACUACGAGGUCUUGCCUGGGGCUACAUGUACAAAUAACAAUUUCCAGAGCUUUGGGUCUUUUCUGCAAGGCCACGCAUACCAUGCACAGUACAAAGAUACAAAUGAAUUUCUGCAUUUUAAAUUGAGCUUUACAUACCAACGGAUACCACCACUGCUGAUACGUCAGGAAUUUACUCCACCAGCUUCUUCCUCAUCAUCCACAGACUGGUAGUAGCUAAGAGGCAAGAAAGCCUCAUUCUGCUGUUGUUGUAGCCCACAGUGCAAGAAAAUGGUGCCCAGCUGAGGCAAAAUGGCGCCCAGCUGCAGUAGGAUGCUCUGGGAGCAGCACCAGAGGCUCAGCCCAGGCCUUUCUCUCCACAGAGGGCAGCGAGGCCCAAAGACGUGGCUGCAGCCUGCUGGGUGGGCACAGGAUGUCCUGUACCAGCAGCAUGGCCCUGGCCUUGCACAGCCAUCUCUGCAUCUGCAUUCUGGAGCUGCACGGCUUGGCUCCUCAGGAUGCUGCUGGUGAGGAAAACCCUCCCAGCCCCAUGUCCUUUCCAUGAGGAGCCUGCAGAGCACAUCUGUGUUCUCCUCAGGAGCUGGCACCCUGGACUCAGCGCAGAUUUGGGGCUGGGGCAUCUCUGUUUAAGAAACUGAUGGCACUGGCUUGAAGCUAAAAUAAAAGUGGGCAGAAAACCAGAUUUUUCUUUGUUCAGCCACAUUCAAAAGAAAAACGAUGGUUACAGCAGCACGAUGAGAUCCAGCUGGCUGCUAUACCCGCCACAGGACGUGGAGGCAAAGCGUAAGGCUCCAUUUUGGGGAUGAUGGCAAGGUGGGGUGGAAGCAAAAACAGGGCCAGGAGGGCAGGACUGCGGUUACAAAUAAACCAGCAAAACAAGCAAACCUGGGCGUUUUGCUGCCCUGCCCUGUACCUUGCUCUGAUUGCAGAUUCAGCAUCCCAAGUGUGGGUACAGGACAACAUUCUGCUGCCUUCUCAUGAGGAUGGCAGAGCACCAAACAAGUACAAAUUAGAAACACAGGGCAUUUAUCCAGCAGCCAAGCACUUAAGCCCUCUACAAGCACUUAAUUCACAUAAAUAACCACUACAGGACUCCCACAAGGCAAGGAACCAUCAACCUCACUGCUCAGACAGGGGAGGCAGGAGUGCAGCAGUCAAUGACAACCCAGCCCACACAACCAGGGUCUGAGCUGAAAACAAAAGCAACACUUCCUGUGUCCCCCUGUGUUCCAGAUGCAGGACAACACUGCCCCAGUAGCCCAGCUCUCUUCCCAAAUUAAGUUAUGCACUUCAAUUCCCUGACUGUACAGGGGAGAAGGACAAAGGUGGAAACAAGGCCUGGCCUUAUGCGUGCUGUGCACAGCUUUCACGGCUGAUGCAGAAUUUGGCAGUCCCAGGAACUGCAUGGCAAGCAAUGCACAACACUCCCACUUCCACUUCCCCCCCUCCAUGGGAGUGGACAUGGAUUGAGGUCAGCAAGCACAGGGAUAAAAGGCCUCCAUGUUGCUGAUGGAACCAACCAUCGGCAAGAGGAGAGGAGCUAGGGUAGGCCUGCAAGCCAUCAAGCGAUCCAAGACACUCCGGUGACUUGUAAACAUCCUUCCCAAGCAGCUACAGAGUUUAGCUGCUCCGGGGAAAGUUUUGUGUCCUGGGAGAGAUAAAUUUCCAAACGCAGUUUCCUCUCUCAGUUCUCUCCAAAGUUACGGGAUCAAGCUACAGACUUGGAGGUGUCACUGUUAGUCCAAAGGAAGGCAGAACGCAGCAGUGGGCUUUGCUGGCUUGCCGUAGAGGUCUGAUGGCCAGCUGUAAUUAACACUUCAAAUGAUUCAAAUUCUAAAUUAUGCCAGAGGGCAAUCCUCUAUUCUGACUGACUACAUAAUACGGGUCACUACACUCACUGCAAAGCUGAGGCAAUGUGACUUAAAUUGGUGGCUGUGUCAGAUGCAAUCUGUGCAUGUACUCAGAAACUAAACUGUCCAUGGACAGUGCCAUUACUACCUUACAGUUUACUCUCCUGCAAGCACUGGAAAGGCAAAAAAAUCUUCAAGUGAUGACUUCCUGCUGGAUGCAAUGAGAGAGCAGGGGUAGCUGUGAGGGCCAAGGGCCUUGGAGUUCAGGCUCUGACUGUUACGCUACUGAAGUUGUUUUGUCUUAUAUGAAAUUCAAAAUCAAGAAUGAAUGAUGGUGUUUGCAACCCCUGUAAAAAUGGGGCGUAUCUUCUGUCUAAGUUAGAAUACAGUUUUUGUGUUUUAUCAGUCUAGCAGAGCCUCAAGGACCACCCAAGCUUUGUUUCCCUGGUCUCGUCCCAGUCUGUUCCGCAACCUACAACAGUUUUACUGCACAAUGUGGCAGCAGUUUAUGUUUUCAUUUUUGUUUUUUUCUCCUUUUCUUAAGGAAAGCCAUUACCUUGGUGUUACAUUGCGUACCCAAUCUACCACUUGUGUUACCUACAGUGAAUUCUCUUAAUGCAACUCGAAGACUAACACAGUCUGACACUUGGCCUCCCCUAGCUUUUAUCUUACUACCUCAGUUUUGUCUUCACUAAAUUUUUAAGACUUAUGAUACAAACUUUGCACUGAUCCAUGCAAUCAGGGAUUGCAAACCUUGACAGAGUUCAGUCCAUAAAGCCCAUGACUACAUGUUUUCCCUCUGCUGGAAUAAAAUAAUGUUCCCACACUCUGAUAGAAACCUUUGAUCUGCACAGAUUUAAUUCAUUACUUAUGAAUCUCUGGCCAACAUCACUCUGCUCGUUUCAGUGGCUACUUUCAGUCUCUUCCUGGAUCUAGAGGGACAGGGAACCCUCCUUAAAAAAACAAAAAAGCAAAAAAAAAACCCCACACCAACACGUGAAAUAGCUGAGAAGGGAAGAAGGGAUCCUGGCUAUGGAUUCACCAAAUUGGCACUUAUGUAACAGUUCUCUUCUAGAAAACCACCAAGGUAGCAAUAACAAGCCAUCCUCUAAGACUGCUUCACAGAGGUUUGAUCAGGAGCCAAGAUAUUUUCCAAUGGAAACUCUGCUCCCGGGGAAUCACCCUGCAUCAUAUUUCUAUGACAGCUUCGUUUUGUUUUAGGAAACAGCAGAUGAUGUCUUUUUAAUUGUGCUAUGCUUAGGUGCAAGGGCAGUUUCAUGACACAAAUCACUGACCUGCUGAAACCACUUCUGAGAUCGGAACGGCAGAAGAUAUGCUAAUAUCUCAGAGGUAAGUGCCCACAUCCAAGCUUAUGCUUUUGCAGGAUUGCCUGGACCCUCUGCAUGUCCUGGGCAAGACCUGUCUCUUGGUUGUGUCCGUAUGGUGCCUAAGCUGUGAGAAGUGGUAUAGCAGUAAAAAAUAAUGAAAGUGCCAGUUGAUUUCUCUUUCCAUACCCAAACUUCCCCUUCCAAAACCUCACUCUUUCCAGAAGGCCUUCCAAACCUUUUUGUAUGGGGAGGGUGCAGUACAGCUGAGCCAGGGCCAGCUCCACGCUGCGAGUGGCACACAAAUGCCGACUGCACAAGCUCAGACACAGGGCAGACCUUUCCAUGAGGCCUUCACAAUGCUCCUGCACAAGGAAUUGUCUGUCAACAGCAAGGCAAGACUGACUUCAAACCGCUGUCCUCCUCCUCUUUGUGACAACGAAAGCCUACUUACAGAGGUGUCUAAGGAGCCAAAAGCAUAGCUGUGUGGAAUGGAUGUGGCUGCAACACUUUUCUCGGAGACUCCACUCUGCAUCUCAUUGCGGUUUCCAAGUGUUCCUGCAGCUCUCUAAGGCCCAGGAGAGGAAAUGUGGCACACAGGCUCUGUGCUGGGAGCACGCACCACAGGAUGAGGCCCGUCAUUAUUACUGCUAUCACCCCACGGACUGUCUGGCACUGGCCGAAGAGCCUGGCUCGGAUGGUUCUGUCUGCUCGACAACAGCUCCACAGCCUCUGCAUGUGAAAGCCAUUAAGCAAUAGCACAGAAGCAACUCAUGAGGCAAAACUCAUGCACAUUCCUGUUCUGAAGGCACACCAGUGUCUGCUGCCAGCCAGGCGCAGGGUGCCGGCCCUGGGUGGCAUGCAGGUGCUGCUGAAGAAUCACGUGCUUCCCCUCGAUGCUAACAGCAAUCCUGACCAGUAUGAAGCCACCAGGGAGCUGAAGAGCCCCAAGGGCCUCUGCCAGGGCCUGCAUGCCAGAGCUGAUGUCCUCCUGCUGGAAAUGCGGCACGGGGGAGCACGAGCCGCGGGGAUGGGAAUUGAAACAUCUGUUUAAUCCAAGCCACGCUUGGAAAGGCUAAGCUGCAUUCAACUCUUAAAAGGCACCCAGCCCAGCUGCGAGGCAAGCUGAUGAACAGAGGAGUACAAAAAUAGCCACUUGUGGAGUGCUCUUUCAAGCAACAUGAGGUUGCCCUACAAAAAUAAAUACACAAAGAACAACAGUUGUUUUUUUCAGAGGGACUCGUGCGCUCCCAUCGCUGCAGCAUGACACCAGGAUCCCCCUGGCUGCCCGUGCUGCGCUCACAGCACAUUCCUGCUGCCCGACAGCUGGCCACCACAGACUCACGGGGUCACACGUGGCUCCCACAUGAGGUCCCCGACAGGCCCGGACUCAGAUGGGCUCUUACCAACCUGACCUCCACCAAAACCCGCACGCUUUGGGCUGCACUCAUUCCACCCCCUUCCCGAGGCGUGGCUUUGAGAGAGAAACUAAAAAUGUUGGCCAACACAACGCUUCGGCUCUCGCUUUCCCAGGCUUAGCUGUUCCCCAGUUCCUCCCUCAGGAGGACUCAAUCCACACCCCAGAUUCUCUUUUUAGAGAGCCACUCCCACCUCUGCCUAACUCGGCUGGAGCAGAACCUCUUUAACCCAUUCCCAGCACUACCAGCACCCCCGGACCAGGCAGCAAAGCUGUUCACAGAAUCCCAUCCAACCCACACAGAAAAGGAAAGAGAGGCUCCUCUGCCUGCCUCAAACAGAGCUGCAAAUUCCUCAUUUGCUUCUGGGAUCUGCCAAAUCCACCUCCCUGCUAGCGGAGCGCCGAGCGGCAGCCAGGGCCGAUGCUGCCAGCAGAUGUUGCAAUGGAAGCGGGGAGGCGAUGGCGGGGGCUCUGCGAGCACCAUCAGUGACGUCCGCCCCAGGAAGCGGGCACGGGCUCCAGCACGGGCCACAAACUCCACCCUGGAAAUCUGAAUUUCAAACCAGUGAUUAGAGCUGGUGACUUCAUCUCAGACAUGCAAAGCUGCGUUACGCUGAGCCAAGGGUGGGCUUUGAUACAAGGAGCUCUCUGUAUAGGGGGGCAGAACGCAGAGCCCAGGGUGGAGGUAACGCAGGGCACAGCAGUAGUAUGCACCCUGACUGUAAAACACAGAAAGCUGGAGACUCACUGCUGCAAGCUGAGCAUCGCUCCUUCAAGCACCGCUACCAAGCCAGCGUAUCACACCAGCUUCUCAUUAAAUUAAAAAUGAUGCUGCACUGACGACAGCACACCACAUCUGAAGCCUCCUCUCUCAUCUCAGCUCACUGAAGUUUUUACCAGGCCUGAUGCCAGGGAGCCAAAGAGACGGGCUCGUUCCUAACCUGAGGGGAACUGUUCUCGCUGUCAGAUGGCAGGAAGCAGCUGACUGAAGAUAUACUGCUUAGCUUUGUUUUGAUUCUCUCUGCUUAAAUGCAGUGGCAGCACAUCAUCAAAACUGAGGCAAUCUUUUGGGAGAAAGGAGCUGGAAAGUGAGGACAGAAUCUGUCUGCUGGUCGUGGCUCCUAUAAUUCACCACAAACACUAUGGAUGGUCAGCUCGCAUGUUGCUGAGGCUCUUCCUGAUGAUAGUUAUCCUUAAAGAAAAUGGGAAUGGUUAUAAUCAUGAGUUGGUUUUUGUUUUUGCUUUUGUUUUUGUUUUUUUUCUUUCUGUGCUGUUUGUAAAGCAAAAACUAACAUUAUGUUUCAAUUUGGUAUUUUUAGUUUUGGCAAAGAUGCCAACAUAGAUUCACCAUCUAAGAAAACAACAGCUUUAAGGGCGGUGAGGAAUGGCACAGGGUGCCCAGAGGUGGCAGACACCCACGGUCAGGCUGCACGGGGCUCUGAGCACUGAUGGAGCUGUGGGUGUCCCUGCUCAGUGCAGGGAGUGCAACCAGACGGCCUGGAGAGCUCCAUCCAACUCAAACCACUCAGUGAUGCUCAAAUCCCACGCAGUUCCCAGCCCACUCCUGGCCAUGGCACGCACGCUUUGCUCUCAGCCCUCACUCACUGCAUCCCAGAGAAACAUCUGGGGACACACAGGGCAGAUAAAAGCAAGGCACAGAAUGAGGCCAAACUGCAGUGAUCAAUCAAAUGACAACAAAGCUUGAAGAAAUGAAAAAAGGAUGACGCAGAGACAUAGUGUGGAAACCACAGUGGAAACUGCAGCAUGACAGGAGAUAAAACAAGGAAUUCCGCUAACUAGCAAAAAGAGAAGGGGCAUUAGCAAACCAGAUGAGAGUUUCGCCCUGCCUUCUGAUGCAGUGAUUUGCUCUUUAAACCCACAGUAUGCGAGAACAGAACUAGAAUAGCUGGGAGAAACCUGAGAGAGACCUAGUAAAAAAUAUACCAGAAUUCAGAGGAACCCCAAAAUACGAGGUGAGCACUGACACAACCUCCCUUUCUCCUAGUAUCACACACGUUAUCACACUCCUGUAACCUCUUCAGAGUCAAUAUGGGAAGGAAUUAUUCACUGUUCCAACAUCUCCUGGAUCCCCCAACCAACCCAGACCUCGUGCUCCUGCAAUGCCAUUACAGAGGCUCUCCACUAACACCACGCACCAUUAUGCUUGGACAGAAUAAUACAGAAUUGCCUCCUUGUUCAGAGCUUUAACUGCACUCACAAUCACUUAUGUGAUUGGUCCCUUCCCCAGGCUCAGUGGACCUUGUUUGCAAAAUAUUUAUCUAGCACCUCAUUUGGGCCUUUUUCCCCAUCCAAAAUUCCUUACAAAAGAGAAGCACAGCCUUGUAUUCACUGGGGAUACGGCUUCUUAUGAGAAUGGCACUCCAGCUUAAGGUUGUUUUUUUAGGAACAGAAGUUAAUCUAUUUUCCCUUUGAGGGCUGGACACUACAGCGCAGACACUCCGCUGCUUGUGCUUACACCAGAGCUGGAUUUCAGGUUUAAUUGGAUUUUUUUUUUCUCCAAUAGCUUUUGAAGACAACUUGAGCCUUGAAAAAGCUUUCACUGCCCCUCAUGUAACACCACCAGCACCUCCCGAUCAUUGCCAGCUCCUGUGAUUUAAAGUAGUACAGCCUGUAGGUUCCCGAAUCGUGAAAUCUGUUUAUCCUUAGGUUUGGGCAGUGCAAGCCCGGGGCUCAGCAUCAAGUCUACAAAAAAACCCCGCUGAGUUUUGGAUCAAAGUCACAGUCCCAGAUCUGCAAAGCUUCAGCAGCCCCUCUGAUACUGCUCUGCAUUAAUGAAGGAAAAAUAAGGGAGAUUCUUAUCUCCACUCCGAAACUACCACGAUGCUAACCAUGUGUCAGAAACAGCCAAUAUUUGCAAGGGAAAGUCAGAAAAUCAUCACGAGAUUUAUUCCCAGCUGAGGAACAAAAGAAGCAACAGCAUCCCACAAAAUGGCAGAGUCGCAACGUGAACCAAAACCCGACGCCCUGAAAGCGGAGCACUUGAGAAGAGAUGAGAGCAGAGCAUUCCUCAGCUGGUGCAAAGCUCGAGAACCCGUCUGCAGCAGCAGGAGGGGGCCGGUGCCCUCCAGGGCUGCCUGGAGACCGCUGCCCGCUCGACACGCGGCUGCGAGCAGCGCUGCGCAUUGCCUGAGCCAUCCCCUGCACGUGGAGGUGCUCCUGUGCUCACAGGAAGGGUUCUGCCCAAGUCGGCAUUCUCUUAUUGAAAGCUGUCCCGUCUGUGAUGCCGGAUACAGGAGGCACUCGUUUCCUAGGCCCUGUCCUUUGGAGCCGUGGGAUCACUGUGGUUAGCACAAUGGCAGGCACAUGCCUGCUGCACAAGCGGGAGCAUCAGGGAUUCUGAACUCUGCUUCUCAAAGGUUGCCUUCAUUUCAGACCAAUAAAUAAGUCAUAUGUUGCUGAGAUAUAAAUUUUUUUCCUUUAAUGAGAGAGCUGGCAGUGAACUGUGAAAAGCACAAUUUAUAUGUUGGUGUUCAAUAAAGGGAACAUGAAAUACAUGAUGAAGCCGAUCACAGGACUGCACCACGCGCUGGAAUCCCUCUCACCCAGCCCAAACUCAGCUGUACAUCCUUCCUGCUUAUGAUGACAAUGCAAGCACAGCCACCCUCACUCAUGCCAGAGAUAGAACAGGGCAGUAAACUUCUCCCUGAAGAAAAUCCAGGUGCCACAGCGGUAUGACCUCACCACCCCCAGAAUAUUGCCAGCACGCAUUCAUUAAUUGAGCUGCAUGCACCAGAUCAGCUGUGCAGCCCUACAGGCUGGCAGCCAUUCCUCAGCAGAGCAAAGCCGCUCAGCAUCCUGCAACUCCUGACUUCCUUCAGCAGAUUCCCUCUUCCCACACUCUGUUUUGGGGACUGGCAAGAGCUUUAUGUCUAACUUCAAUUUGUCAGUGCAUAACAGGACCUAACCCAAAACACUGUGGGAGCUUUUGUAACUCAGCUCCUCCAAACAACAAUAAGAGGAGCAGUCUCAAACUUAAUAAUCCUGAAAACACACUGUAAUAACCCCAAACCCUUAAUAAGCCAAAUAAGCAACUUCGUCACAGCCUUCAGAAAGGAGCAGCAAAGCACUGACACAUCCCACUCCUACUGCAGGGAGACCUCACCCCCCAGAGCUGCAGCUGCACAGCGACAGCAGAUAACGCAGCACCAGGGAGCCCCAAACGACACCUGACCUGCCACAGCUGGGGACUUGCUGCAAAAGAAAAAUCAAAAAUCACCCAUGGUUUUGUCUGGAAUAGCCAAAGCAUGUCAUGUAAGGAAGCACUUGGAAGUGCCUCAUCUGCUGGAUUUACAGACAAGCGUGUUUUCCUGAAGUUGGUUAGAUCUUGCUGUCUGUAAUCUAAUGCUUACCGCGCUGUAUGCAAGUUUUGCAGUAUUUUCUAUUCUAUACUGACAGUACAAAGUGGACGCUCCGAAAAGCAGGUCCUCAUCCUACUGCAACCCAGCAGAACUCAGCUCCUGUGAGAUCCUUCCACCAUGCCAGACUGUGUCAUCCCUCCUACACCAAUCACUCACAGCUUUCGUCUCCUCAAGAAAAGUUACUCCCUCUAGAAAACAAAUUUAGGUUCAAAACAAUCCUCCCUCCCCGCUCUCCCCGACUCUGUUUUUCACAUCAUGCAGUAACUUUAUGGCUCUGCAUGCAGACUGUGCUGAUACCUCUCUGAUGCUCUGAAACAAUAAAGUCGGUACUGGGACACAAGCAUCGCCCAUCUCAUCUGACCGCUUUCAUCAACAAAUUUCAACAUGAACUUGCUAAUUGAGUCUCUUUAAUCUGCUGUUAACAGAGCAGCAUUGAAGCCACAUCCAGCUGCUCGCGUUGUGACAGUCAUUUCCCUCCGUACCCAACCCCAAAGCAGAACAACACCUGUGGGGCAGCAGCAUCCCGCCUCUCUUGGAUGCACUCACAGCGCGAAAGGCACAAUUAAACACUAACCUAUCAGUGUCCCUAUCCAUUUCCAGAUAGCACACCUUUCCCUACACGGGGAGUGGUGCCCGUGGGCUGCUGCGCGCCUUGUGCCCACGGGUGGCUGCGAUGGGACCCACGCAGCGUUACAGCAUCACCCAGUUUGGGAUGCACCCUGGAACCGUUCUCCAGGUGCAGAGCCCAGUGCGUCCCCGCGGCCGCUGCUGGCAGGGACCCGCGUGCCCCACACCCCGGAGCUGUUUUCCCUCUUGCAUGGCUCGGGCCACUUCUGCACGGCUCUAACGCUGCCACCUCCGCACGCCAAACUUUCUCAGCCGUCUCCAUGUUUGUCCCCGCUGUCAUGCAACGGAUCUCCAACGAAACCGCUUGCAGACUCACGGAAACGCCGACAGAAAAGGCUACAACUUCUGGAAAGCGGCGCUCCGGGCAGCGGAGCCGCCAGCCCCGCUCCCAGCCCCGCUCCCGGCCCCGCGGUACUCACAGAGCCGUGGCGGCGGUCGGGCCGUCCGGAGGCCGCUCCAGGCCCCUCGCGGAGCAGUUGGCGAUGCAGGCGGCUCCGGGCCGGCCCCCGGCGCAGUGAAAGGACUGACCCGUGAGCCCUGCAGUGCAUCCAUCCUCAUCCCUCCGGAGCUGCUUGUUUUUCUCUGCCUGUUAUGAUGUUCUAGAUCCUAUGAAGUUCAUAAAAACCUGAUGGGUUUUAGGUUGCCACAUGUGAAACACUAUGGCUGGUCCCAUGAGGAGGAACCUGGAGCGACCCCAGCAGAGCCAUCUCCUCCCACCCCUGUCCACCUCCUGCCCUGCGGCCAACAUGAGCGUUCCUAGCUGUUAUCCUUGACCGCGAUGACUGCAGCCACCUGCUCAUGCUCCGCUGCCUUUCCUCCAGACAUAAUACUUUCCCUGCCCAGAAGGCCUGGGGGAGAGGACAGCUGAAAGCCAAAACUUCAUUCUAUGUUAUAUUUGCUACCACCGAUCUCCAUUCGAUCUUUCUACUUUAGCAGAGCUCUUUAGCUGACUUCAGAGCACGAAGCACAUCUGCUGAUUCAGCGCACUGGUGUGGCAGUGUCAGGACCUGCUGCCGAGACAGACUUCCUCGUACACCAGCUGUUAGAUGUAACACCUCACAGUGAGGGCUGAAAAUUAAAAACAGAACCUGCCCAUUC